CAUUAUCGUACAACCGAGACGCGAGGGCUGUCGCUGACCACCUUCAAAGGUCGUGCACGCCCGAGUGCCCUCGCCCUUAUCCACCACACCCUUGUGCAUCGCCGCGUGGUGCCCCUUUCGGCUCGCCCGGAAGGGGCACACGUCCUUUUCACACAAACGCCCCUUUAAAACGGUUUAGAAUGUCUUUGCGGUGACACGCAAUCAAUACAACUUUCAACAAUGGAUCUCUUGGCUCUCGCAUCGAUGAAGAACGCAGCGAAAUGCGAUACGUAAUGUGAAUUGCAGAAUUCAGUGAAUCAUCGAAUCUUUGAACGCACCUUGCGCCCCUUGGCAUUCCGAGGGGCACGCCCGUUUGAGUGUCGUGACAUCAUCAAACCUUCUCGGUCCUCUGGGAUCGGGAAGGCUUUGGACUUUGGAGGCAUUUUGCUGGCUUCCCGUGAAGCCAGCUCCUCUUAAAUGGAUUAGUGGGGUCCCCAUUGUGGCUCCCUUGACGUGAUAAGAUGCUUCUACGUCUCGGGACAGGCUCUGUAACCCGCUUCGAACCGUCUCGUCGGAGACAACGUCCGGGCUCCCUUCGCCUCUCAUGGGGUGGGGGGAAGCUUGGCCCAAGAACUCUUGACCUC
rnacentral:rRNA from 1 species